GAUGAACGCUGGCGGCGUGCCUAAUACAUGCCAGUCGAGCGAACGGACGAGAAGCUUGCUUCUCUGAUGUUAGCGGCGGACGGGUGAGUAACACGUGGAUAACCUACCUAUAAGACUGGGAUAACUUCGGGAAACCGUAGCUAAUACCGGAUAAUAUUUUGAACCGCAUGGUUCAAAAGUGAAAGACGGUCUUGCUGUCACUUAUAGAUGGAUCCGCGCUGCAUUAGCUAGUUGGUAAGGUAACGGCUUACCAAGGCAACGAUGCAUAGCCGACCUGAGAGGGUGAUCGGCCACACUGGAACUGAGACACGGUCCAGACUCCUACGGGAGGCAGCAGUAGGGAAUCUUCAGCAAUGGGCGAAAGCCUGACGGAGCAACGCCGCGUGAGUGAUGAAGGUCUUCGGAUCGUAAAACUCUGUUAUUAGGGAAGAACAUAUGUGUAAGUAACUGUGCACAUCUUGACGGUACCUAAUCAGAAAGCCACGGCUAACUACGUG
rnacentral:rRNA from 1 species